rnacentral:lncRNA from 1 species
CUUGAACUUCGGGAAAUUUGGAGGAUUGUCAGGCUGGCAAUGAUUCUGCCAAAAGUUUCUUCUGUGGCAAAACAUUAUCAAGGAGACCACAUCUAUAAAAGCCACAUCUCCAGGGAAAGAAUAAAAUACCUGGUCAUACUCAUUUAUCAUUAUGAUUUAAUAAUGCAAAAGAGAGGCCCAUGGGACUACAUCCAGGGCGAACUUCAAUUACAUCUCUAACCCAGGGGCAUAUGACAAAUGUUUAACAAUCAGCCCUUCACCAGCCAUCUCCAGCCCUUACAUGGAACCUCCAUACUGGUUUUCAGAGAAUGAGACUUAGGACGGGUUCAUAGAGGAGAGGAGGAAGAUGCAACAGGGAAACUGAUGAAGAUGCUCUGGAGGACAUGAGCAAUGCGGCUGCCCACAGCUCAUAGCUGAGUGAUAUCCUGGUACAGUCGGAACAAAGGCAAAUGAUUUAUCUUCAAGGAGCUGCUAGGAUGCUUGCAGCAGAUAAUUGAUUCCCUUGAGCAGAAAGGCUAGAAAACUUCUGAGGGGAGGAGCAAAGAGAUGAGAAAGCUUGGUGAUGCAAAUGACCCAAAGGAAGGGAACGGAAAUGGAUGAACAGGAGAGGGAGAAAAGAAAGAAGAUGCUGCAAAGGCAAUGUAUCUUAGGUUUGGGGGGCUUUUGGGGUUCUAGCUUGAAGAAUCUCCAGUGUCCAUCACAUAUAUAAAGGCAA